rnacentral:lncRNA from 1 species
UAAAAUUGCUCUAGCUAUUUCUGUUUUCCCUUUUAUUAUUGCCUAGUGCAGAGAUGUGUUAGAGGAAUCCGAUGAUCGUUGUUGAAGCACUCGUUUGUCUUCCUGAACUAAUAUUUCAAAGACAACUUUAUCAUUUUCCUGAAUGGCUUCUAAAAGCCUUGGAUCCAUUUCCUUUUUGUGCUAGGCUUAAGGCUGGAAAAGUAUGUUCAGGUUUCAGAAGUAUAUGUAGGCAACAAAGCAACAGACCUAGAUAUUCUGAGAAGGAAGAGAGCACUUUGUUAAUUUCUUUGUUAUCUUCAUGGAACCUUCAAGGCAUUCAGCUUCCGAGUUCCAGCCACCUUCAAGGAAAUUCAUUGAUGAUCAAUGGUUCUUUUGAAGUGAGACAAAGGCUUUUCCAAAGUCAAUUUUAGUACUCGUUCUCUUUCAGUUCACACUCAAAUAAUUAAUGCAUAAUACAUAAUUCGAUCUAUAAAUUUUUUAAAAAAAAUCAACAUUCUAUAAUUUUAACAUAUAAAUAUUCCGCUCGCGUGUCACAAUGUUUUUACCCAAUAACUUUCACUUUGAUUAAAGCUUCAUAAUGAGAAAAUGAAAACCAGCAGAAGGCUCGAAGCCAGUAAGACAAAGACAUUAAAGAAGGAAGCAGCUCGUAAAGGAGUAAAAAAUUUUUUAGGAUAAAUGUUAGAAAAAUUAAAAGGAGCUGUUGACCAUCACUGAAAUAAAAAUAAAAAGUUUUAGAAGUUUUGAUAACCAAGUUUGAUUUAGAAUAAAAAAUAGAUAUAUAAAAUUGAAACUAGAUAUUUAAAAAUAAAAAAUAAAUAUCUAAAAUCAGAUAUAAACGGCUCUUAGAAUAGAGUAUCACAAAUGUAAACCAGAAAUUAAGGUUAACAAAUAUAUUUCAGACUAUGAGAUUAUCUUGAUAAAAGAGAAAUAAGAUGGUGAGAAAAACAAAUAUCAAACUUCAUUAAAACAGAAAGAAAUAUAUAUAUAUAUUUUUUUAUUUCUAACAAUCAUUUACACGAAAUUCUCUCCAUUCUCUCUUUCUCUCUUUCUAACCGCAAUACACCCUUUUUACAGGUAAAUAUAAUCUUUACUCCGUCAACACAUGUCUAUAUAUGAGUACAUUACUUGUUUUACACACACAAAUUUUCUUUAAUUUCAUUCGAUAAAAGAUCUCAUAAGCGUAAAUUUGUUGCAGUAAAAUAUCUCUAUUCGCCAAUAAUUCUCAAGAAUUUUUCUUUCAAUUUUUGAUCCUUCUUAAUUGAAGCCAAAGAUUCGCCACUGUUAAAAAAAUAGUGAAGAGAGUAGAUAUGAUCUAAAUACUGAUUGCAGCGACGGAAUUCAGGAAAAACAUAACAAUCUCAACAGAUUUUCGCUACUUCUCCUCAAACAACAAAUUAUAAAAAGAAAUGACUAAAAGCCUUUAAUAAUAAAGUUGUAAAUUUCAGCCGUUUAUGGACGUGCAUAGGGUCCCUCCAACAAUUAUUUUUGCAAUUUAUGGAUAUGUAUCGAGUCCCUUCAAUAAAUUUUUUUCUGUAAUUCAUGGACAUGCAUUGAAUCCCUUCAACAAAGAUUUCUAUAGUUUAUAGAUAUGCUGGUCCCUUCAAGAAAUUUUUAGCCUUUUAUAGACAUAUUUAGGGGUGAGCAUUCGGUCGGUUCGGUUCAAAACCGAACCGAACCGAAUAAACCGAAAACCGAAAUUUUAGGUUUUAUGAAAACCGAACCGAACCGAUUUUGGUCAGAAACCGAAUCGAACCGAACCGGUCUGAUUCGGUUCGAUUCGGUUCGGUUUGAUCGGUUUCGAUUUUUAAUAUUUUUUUAAUUUUUUACACUUUAUUUUUAGUAUUUUAAAAUUUAAUUAAAAUAUUUUAAUUUUAAUAUAAUUUAAUUUCUCUAUAUUAUUGAAAAAACAUAUUAUUAUUCCUAAUCGGUUCGGUUCGGUUUUUUCGGUUUUUUUCUGAUCAAAACCGAACCGAACCGAAAUAACCGAAAUUUCUGAAAUUUAAAACCGAACCGAACCGAACCGAAAUUUAUAAAAAACCGAACCAAAUUUUCAAAUCGGUUCGGUUCGGUCGGUUUUUUCGAUUUGAACUGGAUUCUGCUCAGCCCUAGACAUAUUGAUCCCUUUAAUAAACUUUCGGUCUUUUAUGGACUUAUUGGUUCCUUCAAAAAAAUUUUAGCUUUUUUAUGGACAUGGUGGUUCUUUCAAAUAACUUUCAGUCUUUUAUAAACUUGUUAGUCUCUUCAAAAAAUUUUCAGCCUUCUAUAGACAUGUCAAUCCUUUGAAACAAGAUUUUUUUUUUUCAAAUAGUUUAGAAAUAUGUUAGUCUAAAACAUCAGUUUAAAGACAUGAUAGUCUAAAAUAUAAAUUUAAAAAUAUAAAGUCGCAGGUCUUAUAAAUUUUAAAUCUUUAUAGACUUGCAAGUCUUCUCAUAAAUUUUGGAUACUUCCAAACAAAAAGAUAAAGAAACCAAUCUUUUAAAUUUCUUAAAAUUUUAAAAGUAGAUAAAUAUAAAAUCUUUCAAAAGGUCUUGAAUUUUGAAAAUAUAUAAAAAAAUCCAACCUAGAAUAAAUCUUUCAAAGUGUUAGAAUAUUUACAAGUAUUUGAAUAUUUACAAGUAGAUGAAAAAACUAACUUUUUCUAACUUUUCAAAUUAGAAAGUAGAUGAAAAUAAAAGAAAUAAAAAACUUAAAAAAGGUCACAAAAGCAUUGAAACAAGCUCUCAAAAAUUAUUUGGCCUAUGAUAGCCCGUUGAAAAAUCAAAAGAAUCUCUAAUACAAUCACUAAAAUAAAAAUAGAAAGUUUAGAAAUUCGGAUAACAAGUUCGAUUAAGAAUAAAAAAUAAAUGUUUAAAACUAAAAUUAAAUUUGUAAAAACAGAAAAUAAAUAUAUAAAAACAGAUAAAAGUAGCUCACAAACCAAAGCAUCACGAAUACAAAUAAAAAAUUAAGAUUUUUGUAGAAUAUGCAACAUCAAAAUAAAGAUGAGAAUAAUUGAUUUAAACUUAGCAAAUAUAUGUUAGAAUAUAACAAAAGAAAAAAAAGAUAACAGAAGAAUAAAUAUCAAACUUCAUUGAAUUUUUGAGAAAUACUAAUUUUUUUCCUUUUUCAUUUCUAACAAUCAUUUACAAUAAAUUCUCUUUUUCUCUCUUAAUUUCCACAUGCAAUAACCCUUUUUACAGGCAAAGAAAAGUCUCACAGAGUCGACACAUGCCUAUCCCUAGAGAUAGGUCAAUAAAUAUUAAUUCUUAAUAAGGGCAACUUAACACCUUAUUACUACAGAUUCUAUGGAGGAGGCAAGAAAAAGGUGAACCGGAGGAAAUUUUCGAUCACUGGAGAUUCCUGGAAAUAGUCAUUGGGGGUCCAGGAAAAAGGGUCCCAUUUGCAAAUUGCAAAUGGCGACUUGCAGGAGAUUGCAUAUGAGGCCAACCAGUGGACUUUUAGGCUAUGUUUGGUUCAGUUCCAAUUUCUAAAAUUUUGUUGAAUUCAAUUGAAUUUCAUAUUUUGUGUGUUUAGUUUGAAUAAAGAUUAAAAUUCAAUUCUAAAAAUUCAAUUCCAUGAAAUUAGUUAUAACUAAAACCAAUUUCUAGUGGUUCAGGAGCAGUAGUGUCCGAUAGACUUGUUUCACUCCUAGUGGUUCUGCUUGCCACGUUAGUUGCUUUACUGUUGUCAUCUUAAACAAUUCUUUGUUGAUCAGUGUCAGGUUCCAGCUAGCUGUUGGAAUCCUUUGUCUAAACAAUGUCUUUUGAGUAAUUGUUUAGCUGUUGAACAAUACUGCUUUUGAUAUUCUCGGAUGAGUUUCUCUGUUUUGAAUGUUUUCGUAGCAUUUAAUUGCAGUUAUUAAUAUUGGUUUCUUGCUACUAAUAACUUCUAUUUUUCCGAAAUUUGUCUAAUUCUUUUGUUUCCAGCCUGUUUAUAGUACAGCAGUAAUUCCAUGUAUAUACAUGGCGUACAAGUUUUUCAUCGGAACUAUCAGUAUGUGUGAUAUCCUAAACCGUAAUUGGGUGCAAUGUCUGAACUUGCGCUUCCAAGGAUCUUUAUCUCUAAUUCCUCUACUGCAAAUUGCUCAACUGGUUGCUCUUCUACCUUUCCUUCUGUCCUUUUCUUCCUCCACAUCCUUUUCCGCUGCCAAUGAAUAGUAAAAAUCACAGCUAUAACAAUAAAGGUCGCUCCCAGCGCGCUGCCACCCGCAGCCGUUGCCAACACAGGCAUCCAUUCGGUGCCUCCACUAUGUGGUGUGAUCACCCAAGUUGCUGCUACAAAACUGAUUCCCAUGCACAAAACUGCCACCCACAUGACUCUGUCAGCAAUCUUUAGCACUCUCACCAGCGGUUUUCUUCGAAAAGGGAUGAUCCUGAUGAGAGUAAUGACAACUGAAAGGGAGGUGAACAAUGCAAUAGUGUUGCUUAUUUCAAACACCUUGAAAGCUGUUGUUCUGGCUAGUAUUGAUUUCCCUUUCAUUGGUCCAUCCUGGAAGACACCACCAGGAGGACUUAUCCCAGCAGCAAAACUUACUGUUGCAAUUAAAACAGCAACUACUAUAAUGGUGUUCCUGGAAUUUUGUAGUGCCUCUAUCUGCAUCUUUCUCAGGUGAUCACUAAUGUCUCUAGCUAGUUCCUUUUCCGCUGGUUUUUGCUUCGUUUCAGAUCUUGUCGUAUUAUAAUUUGUUUGAGCAGCAGCUCCACUUGGUUGUGAAUUGUGAGUCGUUGUGGCGCUUGUAGAAGAAGUAGGCGAUUUAAUAUCUUUGUGCUCUAUGUCAACGUCACUUGUUUCUCUAACUAGUGACGUCGAAGAGAUCAGAAUGCUACGUUUACCGCCGGCUUUAACUAACAAGUCCUUAAGACUCCAUUUUUUUUCAUGAGGGAAAGCUACCUCUUCGAGUAUGUCCAGUGCUGUGAGACCUGAGUAAUUCUGGUCAUUGAGAUCCAAUAGUUUAACCUUUAUCAAGUACUCUGCAAUCUGAACAUAACACAUCUUUGUCGAUAAGAGAAAAAAAAAGACCCGAGAUAAGCAUACAAGGAGAGAAUAAGAGAUUCUUACUUUAUAGCAGCCUGUGGAUACAGCAAGAUGUAAGACUGUAUUACCGUGUUGGUCUCGGAAGCGGAGGAAGUGAGGUAUGGUUGUAAAAACAUCCCUCAUGACGAUGAAGGCAUCGUAGCUGCCGGAUUUAACAGCAAGGUGAAGUAGAGAAUCCCCCUGUUUUGUGAAUAAAAUGACAUAUUGGGAACCUCUCGACAGAAAUUCAAGAAUGAUGGGAGCACAACCAUUCAUUGCAGCCAAAUGCAGCGGCGCAUACCCUUUGUUAUUAAGUACCAUACUACUUUGGGGGGCAUACUCUAAAAGGAUUUUUGUCAUCUCCAAGCUACUCUUUUCACAAGCGCAGUGCAGUGGUAAACACCCAUCCUGGUCACUUUUCGAAGCAAAACUUGGCCUCGCUUCCAAUAUUGCCCUCACAACUCCUGCAUGGCCAGCUCCAUUAAUUUGGCUGAGAAAAACACAUACGGACUUGAACAUUUUCAAACCCGAAAAGGGAAAAGAAGAAAAUAAAAGAAGUUUCAGAACGUACUUGUGUUAUCUCUUGACACUGAUUGGUGCAAAGCAUUUGAAGGGUAUCUAGCUUCUUCGAUAUCCAUUAACCAACUUAGGUUGAGCAGGAGCUUAACCACAUCAAGAUGCUCUCGGCUACAAGCUAUGGAAAAUGCACUCUCGUUGUUAUAGUUAAGUAGAGUGGCUACCGCUUGUUUGGUCUCUAACAGCAACAUCACCAUAUCAGCAUUUCCUACCCGACAGGCUUCAUGGAGAGGAGUAUCCCCUCGAAUAUUCUGAGCUGAAACCAAGUCAGGACACAGCUCUAAAAUUGCUCUAGCUAUUUCUGUUUUCCCUUUCAUUAUUGCCCAGUGUAGAGAUGUGUUAGAGGAAUCCGAUGAUCGUUGUUGAAGCACUCGUUUGUCUUCCUGAACUAAUUUUUCAAAGACAACUUUAUCAUUUUCCUGAAUGGCUUCUAAAAGCCUUGGAUCCAUGUCCUUUGUGUGCUAGGCUUAAGGCUGGAAAAGUAUGUUCAGGUUUCUGAAGUAUAUGUGGGCAAC